rnacentral:rRNA from 1 species
UACGAAGGGGGCUAGCGUUGCUCGGAAUUACUGGGCGUAAAGGGUGUGUAGGCGGAUAGUUUAGUCAGAGGUGAAAGCCCAGGGCUCAACCCUGGAAUUGCCUUUGAUACUGGCUAUCUUGAGUUCGGGAGAGGUAAGCGGAACUCCGAGUGUAGAGGUGAAAUUCGUAGAUAUUCGGAAGAACACCAGUGGCGAAGGCGGCUUACUGGCCCGAUACUGACGCUGAGACACGAAAGCGUGGGGAGCAAACAGG